CUGGGAAGGUAAAUUGUAAUUCCGUGGUUUGGGAAAACCACCCGACCAAGAAAACCAUUCACGGAUGAAUGGUUAGGCUUUUCCGGGCAGGACGCCUAUAAAAGCCGGUUCUGGAAAGCACACGCCCAAGCCAAACAAAAAAGAUUUUCUGGUUCGU
rnacentral:ncRNA from 1 species